UUGAACGCUGGCGGCAUGCCUUACACAUGCAAGUCGAACGGCAGCACGGGAGCAAUCCUGGUGGCGAGUGGCGAACGGGUGAGUAAUAUAUCGGAACGUGCCCGGUCGUGGGGGAUAACGUAGCGAAAGCUACGCUAAUACCGCAUACGAUCUACGGAUGAAAGCGGGGGAUCGCAAGACCUCGCGCGAUUGGAGCGGCCGAUAUCAGAUUAGGUAGUUGGUGAGGUAAAGGCUCACCAAGCCGACGAUCUGUAGCUGGUCUGAGAGGACGACCAGCCACACUGGGACUGAGACACGGCCCAGACUCCUACGGGAGGCAGCAGUGGGGAAUUUUGGACAAUGGGCGCAAGCCUGAUCCAGCAAUGCCGCGUGCAGGAUGAAGGCCUUCGGGUUGUAAACUGCUUUUGUACGGAACGAAACGGCGAGCUCUAAUACAGUUUGCUAAUGACGGUACCGUAAGAAUAAGCACCGGCUAACUACGUG
rnacentral:rRNA from 1 species